UUGCUUUGGCAGCACAUCUACUAAAAUUGGAACGAUACAGAGAAGAUUAGCAUGACCCUUGAGCAAGGAUGACACACAAAUUUGUGAAGUGUUCCAUAUUUUU
rnacentral:snRNA from 1 species